rnacentral:tRNA from 1 species
GCUGGCGUAGCUCAAACGGUAGAGCGUCUCACUUGUAAUGAGAGGGUUGGGGGUUCAAGUCCCUUCGCCAGCUCCA